AUUGAACGCUGGCGGCAGGCCUAACACAUGCAAGUCGGGCGCGCGGCGGACGGGUGAGUAAUGUAUGGGGAUCUGCCUGAUGGAUGGGGAUAACUACUGGCAACGGUAGCUAAUACCGCAUCCCCUCAGAUGAACCCAUAUGGGAUUAGCUUGUAGGUGAGGUAACGGAUCACCUAGGCGCCGAUCCCUAGCUGGUCUGAGAGGCUGAUGAGCCACACUGGUACUGAGACACGGCCCAGACUCCUACGGGAUGCAGCAGUGGGGAAUAUUGCACAAUGGGCGCAAGCCUGAUGCAGACAUGCCGCGUGUAUGAAGAAGGCCUUCGGGUUGGAAAGUACUUUCAGUCGGGAGGCGUUACCGACAGAAGAAGCACCGGCUAACUCCGUGCCAGCAGCCGCGGUAAUUC
rnacentral:rRNA from 1 species